UACGAAGGGGGCUAGCGUUGCUCGGAAUUACUGGGCGUAAAGCGCACGUAGGCGGAUUGUUAAGUCGGGGGUGAAAUCCUGGAGCUCAACUCCAGAACUGCCUUUGAUACUGGCAAUCUCGAGUUCGGGAGAGGUGAGUGGAACUGCGAGUGUAGAGGUGAAAUUCGUAGAUAUUCGCAAGAACACCAGUGGCGAAGGCGGCUCACUGGCCCGAUACUGACGCUGAGGUGCGAAAGCGUGGGGAGCAAACAGGG
rnacentral:rRNA from 1 species